CCGUUGGUCUGGAGAGCGACACCUGAGGGGACCUGGUAAUUAAACAGAAGAUUAGGCCUAUAGUUUCGCCGAGUGUCGUGAUCGUCGUACCGCGAUCGCGAUAGUCACGACAGUGGUCGUCGCGGGACUGACUGUAGUUUCCAGGAUCAUAGCACUCUGAUACAGAAAAAAAAUAUCCCAGACACUCAGCCUGAAAAAAUUCCCAUGAGGCCUUGCAGCAC